ACGUAUUCUGAAAGGGAUACUUCUUCGGACAAGUAUACAAGGUGCUGCAUGGUUGUCGUCAGCUCGUGCCGUGAGGUGUCGGGUUAAGUCCCAUAACGAGCGCAACCCCUAUCAUUACGUUGCCAUCAGGUCAAGCUGGGGACUCUAAUGAAACUGCCUACGCAAGUAGUGAGGAAGGCGGGGAUGACGGUCAAAUCAGCACGGCCCUUACGUCCAGGGCUACACACGUGCUACAAUGGCCGAUACAGAGGGCAGCUACCUGGUGACAGGAUGCAAAUCUACCAAAGUCGGUCUCAGUUCGGAUCGGAGUCUGCAACCCGACUCCGUGAAGUUGGAUUCGCUAGUAAUCGCGCAUCAGCCAUGGCGCGGUGAAUACGUUCCCGGGCCUU
rnacentral:rRNA from 1 species